UGGUGACUAAUAUAAUAAAAAAUAUUAUUAUAAAAAAAAUAAAAAAUUAAAACAUCCAAAGUAGCUCAUUCAUGUGUUUGGCAGUUGAUGCUGGCUGUCAGCUGGGAACCCGGCUAUCACACCUCAGUUUUCCUCUAUGUGGCCCUCCAGGCAGCUUGAAGUUCUUCCAUCAGUGUGGCUGGGCUUCUUCCCAUCAUGAUGAUUGGGAUUCAAGAAGUAAUAUCCCAAGUGUGAGCAUUCCAAGAAGGGAGAAGUAGGAGGUAUGAGUCCUCUUGAGGCCCUGGCUUAGAAAUCUCAGAACAUCACUACAUUGUAUUAGUCAAAGUAAUCCAUACGACCGGCCUAGAUUAAAGAGGAAGGGAAAAAAUUUUUACCUCUCAACGAGUAUACAUAUAUGAGAAGGGAAGGGCUUGAUCGCAACCAUCUUGAGAGAUUAUUAUUAUACCCUCUGCAAAUAGCAAUUUCUGUUCCUGACAUGGAAAAUGCAUUCACCCCUCAUAAGACACCUUAAAGUUGCAUCUAAAUAUGUCAUCAGAUUCUGGUUCAAGGCCCAUAAUCUCAUCAUUUUAAUCAGUUUCAGGUACAAAUGAGCCACCUUUACUGCAGUUCUCAAUAUGAAGAUGCGUGAACUGAAGAAACAAGUUUUAUUCCCCAUACUCAUCUAGCAUACAAUGGCAAGACAGGCAAUAGAUUUCUUGUUCGAAAAGGGAAAAUGGGAGGUGCAAAGCAAAAAUGGUCCAUAGCAAUUCUGAACUCCAGCUGGGCACAUGUCUCAUUCAUCAUGAUUCUAGGAGCAGGGAGUGUAUGUUAAUUAGGGCCUAAUUUUCAGCCUUUGGCCCUUCCCUAUGAGAUUUUUACUUGACUCUGAGUUGUCCUUUGCCAUGAGAACGGCUUGUUUGAGGUUGAAUAGCUUUCUCAACUUUUUUUCUGAUUUUCGAAGGUUGAAGACCCAGAGGCCUUUUUUUGUUCUGAACUGUCUCUUCCUCUUAGACCAAACUUACGUAAUUCCUUUAAAGAUAUUGCAUGUUUUCUAUGAAUCAAAUUAUAAUCCACUCCAUUCAAUAAAAGGCGAACCGACAAACCUGAGACUGGCGUCUCCCUCUACUUUGAGCUAAAUGACAGGAUGCUGAAGGACCACACCCUUAAGAAUCAUAGGUCCCGAUUGCCUCGCUGAGUAGAUGGACUGUAAUAUAUGUUGAUAAGUUUCUUAGAAGUCUUUUUGUCAGCUGAGAGAUCUGUGAGGCACUGGCUUAAAUAUUUCUGAAGUCAAAGGUUAUUAUUACAGCUGCACCCUUGAUCGUAAUUUACCCUAAUGCUAUAUGUUCUACUUGCAGUUCUCUGGACUUGUCCAUUGCCCAUAGGUCAUUUCCCCUUUGAGAUUUUCUUGCUGGCUGGAAAAGGUGUUCAAGGCUUUUAUAUUUCUUACAUUUGUUCCAAAACUGAACAGUUUCUUAUUUAGUUCAUCAUUCUUUUUCUGAAUUUGAUCAUUGCCAGCUAAAAGUCACUUGGCAUUUUCAGUAUUCUGCCUGGAAAUCUCCUUGGCCAGAUGCACAGGUCUAUUCAGUUACUUCUUCCCCUUAGUGAUUUCCAGGAGUUCAUUAGUUCUACCUUUCACAUUACUGCAGGUGAAAGUGCCUUUCAUAGCAAGGGUUGCCUUUCAAUAACAAUUUCCUCAUUGUUCUAGCCACCUCUGUUUCCUGAAGUCCCUAAAGCCUUCAUCUCCUGCUCAGUUCUAAAGUUAAGUCUAUAUGUUUUGGUUUUGGCCCAGUACUACUCUUAUUUCUAGGUACCAGUUUCUAUUUUGGUUAUCUCUUCAUAACAAUUUCAAAACAUAUUGACAUUAACCAUUUUAUUAACAGUUUUAUUAAUCAUUUAUUUAUGUUUCUGUGGAUAGACUGGGCUCAGCUGUCUCAAGUGAAAGGUUCUUCUGUUCCACAUGAUGUUGGCUGGGGCUUCAAUUAUCUAAGGGCUGUGACAUCCAAGAUAGUUCAUCCACAUGGUUGGCAAUUUAUCUGCUGCUUCUCCUUAUAAUCUCUCCACAGGGCUUAGGCUUCUCAAAGCAUAGUGGUUGAAUUCAAAAAGGAAGAGCCCCAAGAAUCAGUGUUCAAAAAGGAAGGAAGUGGGAAAUUGUUACUCCUUAAAGGACUGGACUCAGAAAUCCUAGAAUGUCAUUCCUCUGUAUUCUAUUGGUCAAAGCAAACAGGCAUAGAGUAGAUCCUAUAGGAGAGGGAAAAGAGGCUCAUCUCUCAAUGAAGAAGUAGCACAUGCAUGCAGGGAGGGAAGGAAUUGAUGGCAUUCACCAUAGGAAACUUAUUACAUAUAUAUUCAUUUGUAUAUGUAAAAUCUUAAAUACAUGAGAAAGAGAAUUAAAGAAGUUCCCUAGGGAAAUAGCUAACAUUAUUACUCUGAAAACAUAAUUCAUAUAUUAUCUUACCACAAUCUGCCUUUUCCAAUUGCACCCCAUCUCUCGUGUUUCGACAUUUUUGUGGAGGGAAUAAACGUCUUUCCCUUUUACCUACUCCUAUAAUGUUCAAAGGUCAAUAGGUUCAUAACCAUAUUACCAAAAUAGUUGGGAAUAAUCAAGCUCUAUUACAAUGCAUAUUUGGUUUUUGGCUUUUACCUAAAGUAUUUGUCUAAGUAUAAACUAGCCAAUAUAUAAUAAAUAUCUAGUAAAUUGUUCUUGUUUUCUGACUUUAACAUAAUAAUUAUAUUGGAAAUAUGAAGUAUGUUCAUGAAUAGUCACUAAAGUCAAUGAGUUCUUAUAUACUUCAUAACCUAUUAAAAGGUAAAUACUUCAAUAGGUUUUGAUUUAUUGGUUAAGGACAAGUGAUAAAAGUGGAGUUAGAAAACACAGUUGUCUCUGCUUUUGCUUUUUCUAAAAUGUUUUCACAUACAUUAUCUCAAUGGAUUUUUACAACACUUUUGUGUAAGCAGGGCAGAGAUUUGGUCAAUGGAUCCAAAUUUGGUGGAUACAAAUGAGUGCACAUUAUUAUGUAUUGUAUCCAAUGACACAUAGGAUGAAUAGACAUUUGAGUAAGUAGCUAAUACCUGUCUCAAUACUCAGAAAUAGAUUAUUCCUUCUUUUUUCAUCUUUGUAAAAAUAUUUUGUAAAGUAUUUUACAUACUUAGCACCAUCAAAUGAAGCUAGACUUUAUGCUGUUCUUUGGAACUUACAAAAUUCUGAUCCUGAAGAGCCCUGUAGAAAAAGGCUUGAUCUUUCAAGAAAAGUUCUUUCAUUUAAUUUGUUCACUUUGUUAAGGAGACCUUUUGCUUAUUAUAGAAUUGUGAAGAGGAAAUUAAUGGUAUGGAUGAAGGUAGUUUAAUCAGUUCCUAGGUUCUAUUUUAGUCAAAUCCAAUUUAGUUGUGAAUACACCAGAUGUCUGGCUCCAUGAUUAAAACCCUGAAUGUCAGUUAGCUAAGACACUAGACUGCAGUAUUUAUAUCUAAACAAAAAUAACAAUGUUUAAAAAAUAAUAAUUCUAUGCUUUCAAGUUAGCACUAUUGAAGACAUUUUCUAAAUUUUAAUUAUAAGUUAUAACAAAUAAUAGCUAAUGAUUAUGGAGAGUUGACUUGUAUGCUUAGAUCUUCUAAUUAAGAAACAACACCUUGGGAAGUCACUUAAUCCCUUUGAUCUUUAGGUUGGAAAAAAUUGUAACAUUAACUCUCAUAUAGUGUUUUAUAAUUUAUACAAUAUUUUCAUUUUAACAAUUCAGAGACUGAGGUGAAGUUCAGGAAAGUGACAUGCUAAACCUACUAGUUAGUGGGGCAUAUGCACAUUAACAAGGAAGAUAUUAAUGAAAGGGAGUGAUUGAGUAUGUAGAAGCAAGAGGGAUGAUUGUACAGAAACAAGAAAACAUGAGUUUAAGAUUCCUGAGGAUAGUCUCUAAAAUGUAGGUAGCUAUUGGCCUUGAGAGAAGGAACAUCUAAUAUAAUAUCUCAGAAAGUGAAGAAAAUUGGUGCAAGUGCAUAUGGGCUUAUAGAUUUGGUAGUGGAAAGUUGAAGAUGAUCUUAUCUGAUGCCUUCAGAUUUCUAUGAACUUGGAAAUGUCAUCUGAUGAGAGAAAAGAAAGAAAAUAAAGAAGAUUUCAAAGAAUUGUUGCCAAGAAUUGGAGAUCAAAUUGACUAAAGAAACAGUGGGAUUACCAAGCAGUGUACCGGUACAGCCUCAUUUGAGGUUAGUAAUAAUAAGUGAAUGAAAUUGUGUGACUUUAACCCAGUAGUCUGUCCUCUCAAAUUUAAAAAAAAAAGGUGAUUUAUAUGUCUUUUCUAAAACAUAAGUUGAAACCAAAGAAGGGCUAGAAAAUUUAGGAUAUUGGCAAGAAUAUUAUUUAAGAAUAUUAUUCAAAUGAUGAACCAUGAAAUCUAAGCUGAAUAUAAAAGGAAGUGAAGAGAUGGAAAUGGGGAGUAGAGGAGUGAAGAGAGAGAACAAGAAUGCUUUAAUGAGUUAGAAAUGUAAUGGAAAGAGAGAGAGAGGGAGAAUGCUUUGAUUGUUUGGAAAUGUGGUAUAAAAAGACCAAUGCAGUGGAGAUCUAGAAGAAAUCAAAGACCCAAAUUUUUAUAGUCAUUGACAAGUAAAUAAGGAGACAUGAUUGUGAUCAUAAGUAAAAAUGCCUGGAAUAGUGAUUUGGGAAGAAAUAACACAUAGAUAAUAGCAAAUGGCGUGAGUUGGUGAGAUGGUGGUUAUCGAAGGUCAAGAGAUGAAGUCAACGAAAAGAGAGUCCAGAUUAUGGGAGGAUGGUCUACUAAAAUAAUUACAACACCCAACAUGAUAAAAUUUGAAGCAUAAAGGAAGGCUUGUGAGUAGAGUAUCUAAUUUUUGAUAAAUGAGAGAGAAUGAAUAAAAGGUCAGUUGACAGUUCUAAGAAUGGAAAUCAAACAAAUAGCAUGAGCCUUAAAAAAAAGUACAUAAGAUUUUGCACAGAAGCAAGUAGUAAUAUUAUCUGGAGUAAUAGUGUUAAGAAUGACAUGGAUUUUUGAAAGAAUAAUCACUUGAAAGUGAUAAAGGGAAGGUAUGCCUUCUUUGAAGAACGAAGUUUCAAUUAUGAAAGAUAUGGAAGGAACAUCUGGGGAAAGGUUAAAAGUAAAGGGAAGUGUGCUGCUUUUAGAGAGGAAGGGGAAGGGAAGUGGGUGGAGAAGACAGUGCACUUGAGUAUUAUGGCAAUGGCAACUUGGGAGUGGGCAGAUACUAGUGAGGGGGGAGAGGUGCGGGGAGCUCUCAGUUUGGAUGUUGCUUGUAAUGAAUGCAAGAUUAAGUAUGCUUUAAAAUUUAAUCUCAGUGAUUUUGAGGAGGCUGGAUUCUGGGUCCAUUGAUCAGAGGACUCACUGAGACUAAGUGAAUAGUUAUUGCUGCUGCUGCAACAAAGUUUGGUAGCUACACCUAUAUGGUUUGGAGGUGGGAAGCAGUCCAGGCAGUGAUGACAGCAACUAAAGACAGCAAGGCUAGGGUAGGAGCAUAGUCUACAGCCCUGAACUUUAAACAUUCAGCCUUAUAUCCCAGGGAUAAAUACAACUUGGUCAUAUUUUAUUUUUUACAUACACUGUUGGAUUCAAUUUACUAAUACCUUAUUUAGAAUUUCUUCAUCCAAAUGAAUAAGUGACAUUAGCCUGUGAUUUCCCUUUCUCACUUACUGUUUUUCUAAUUUUGAAAGAUUACACUAUCAAGAUUACCUUAGUUUAAUAAAAUCGGUGAUUAUUCUGUUUCUGCUCUCUGGAAAAGCCUAUAUUAAAUGACCUGUUUCUUGUCAGUUUGAUAAGGUUAACUUGUAAGUACAUCUGGAUCUGCAUAAUAUCUUGUAAGUACUUCUCUGGUUUCUUUGCUUCUACAGGAUUAUUCAGACUUCUGUUUUUCUUAAGUCAGUUAUGCCAUUUUGUGUGUUUUCAAACUGGUUGACAUUAAUUGUUCAUAAUGUUUCAUAUCUUUUUAACCUCAGUUAUCUGUAUAUGUCCAUCAUUUUACUUCCUACUUUUCUGUAUCCUCAUGCUUUAAAUGUAUGUAUUCUGAACAGCAAGUACCUGGGUUUUUUAAAAGUCUAAACUGAUAGUAUGUGCCUUUUCAUUAGUGAACUUAAAUCAUUUAUGUUUCUUGCUAUGAUUGUUGUAUUUGAAACUAUUUCUACUUUAAAUUUUCACCAUGGAACUGAGGAGAGUAGUAAAAUAACUCCAGUUUCAAAUGGUUAGCAAUUCAGUGCUAUUUCUCCUCAGAAAAAGUCAAAUGGUGGUUUAAAGGUUUUCUCCAUACCCCCGCUAAAGUGAAAACAACACAAUAAAAUUUGUAAAUCCCUUCUCUUUAAAUGCUCAAAGUACAGAAAAUGAUGGGCAAAAUGGCAUCUGUGUUUAUUUUUAAUAAAUGUUAAUGUACAGCCAUGGUUUUCUGCUUCUAAACUUCUGUGGGUCUUAUACAAUUUAUUAGUAUUAUGUCUCUGUAAUUCAGGUUACCUAGCAAGUUCAAUUUCAUGUGUUAUUAUCAUUGCCUGUUGAAAGUGUAUUAAUUUGUUAGAACAGGAACCUUGUAGAGGAGAUUAUUAUUUCUUGUCAGCAAUGAAUAAAUUUCAGCCUUAAAAAUGAAUUAUUGUUUUUGAUAUAGCAUGAUUAAAUCAAGCUAGUAUGUGCUCAGGGGUUGGAGUAGGGCGUGGACAUUCUGAGAAAUAAAAUAAGCUAGGGUAAAACACCUGGUUUUGUGAAAAUGAUUUUUUAGAAGCAUUGUCUUGUAUACUAAAAAAAAAAAAAAAAAAGCCCUGAAAGAUAAAAAAAAAGACUUUGAUACUUGUUACAGAUGAGAACCUCAAGUAAAGAUAAAAUUUAAUGUUUUCUUUAAAUGCUAUUGCCCAAAUAAGGAAAAUCCAUAAUUGAAAACUGAGUUUAUGUACUAUAUAUUUAGACCUGUUCUCUCUACCAGGGCCACGGCCACCAUACUAAUUUUGGAGUUGUGAGACUUACUGAAGCUUUAUCUGGAUGCCAGAUGAGGAAACAGGUACAGAGAUGUUAACUAACUCACCCAAGACCACAAAAUUAACCCCGGAAGUCUGGUACCAGUGCUCAGGAUGCUAACCACCACUACUAAUACAGACAUGGUUAUAGACAUAAACAUAGAUGCAGUUGUUUAAUGGAGGAAGAAUUUGCAGAGACAGUCACAACAUUCAGGAUUUUUGUUGCCACAUUUAGUUGUUAAUUUUGAGAGCAGGUUUUGAUGAAAGCCAGGAUCCUGGCUACAUGACGGGAGCUCAAAUGAAGAGGGAGGUUCAGAGCUGUGAGGCUCAGGGUCUGUAGUCACCACACCUACGUCACUGUAUUUCAGCAUGAACCAGAGUCCCAAAGAUUCCUCAGGUAUCAAUAGAUGAUAAAAUUAUGAGGAAAUUGGAUCGUCAGUCAAAACACUUGACCACAGAGAAAAUUCUAGACCCAGAUGUCUUUUUUUGAUGUCUUGAUUGAUGAUAUUCCCCCAUUACUGUGGAAAUAAAUAUCUUCUUACUUUCAUUGCUGCUGAUGAGAAGUCAGCUUCAGAGUAACAGUGGCUCCUUUGAAGCUAAACCUUGGCAGAAAACUAGGGGACUUAUAGAGAAAGGAUAGAAUGAGGAUCUGUGGACCGGAGGACAACAGCUACAGUUGAAGACACAAGCACCUUACCAAAGUCAGAAGCUUUAUAUAACCACAGCACAGCCGAUAAUCUAGGCAUAGAGUGAUCGAAGUCUCUGGUCUGCCCUUCAUGCUCACUCCACACCUGCCACUUACCCCCAGAUUGAAGCUGUCUGAAUCAAAACCUUCAGUCAGAAGGCAGCAUUUUUGAUCUGCCUUUGUCACCAGGAACAAGUUCCCGUUAUCUGCCUGCUGACCAAGAACCAAAGGGCAACAAAGGAAAAGAAAUCCUGAAACACUGAGGUCAUGACCUGAACUGAAAUCAAGAGUUGGAUGCUUAACCAACUGAGCAACCCAGGCGCGCCCCUA